rnacentral:rRNA from 1 species
CCUACGGGUGGCUGCAGUGGGGAAUAUUGCACAAUGGGCGCAAGCCUGAUGCAGCCAUGCCGCGUGUGUGAAGAAGGCCUUCGGGUUGUAAAGCACUUUCAGCGGGGAGGAAGGCGUUAAGGUUAAUAACCUUGGCGAUUGACGUUACCCGCAGAAGAAGCACCGGCUAACUCCGUGCCAGCAGCCGCGGUAAUACGGAGGGUGCAAGCGUUAAUCGGAAUUACUGGGCGUAAAGCGCACGCAGGCGGUCUGUCAAGUCGGAUGUGAAAUCCCCGGGCACAACCUGGGAACUGCAUUCGAAACUGGCAGGCUAGAGUCUUGUAGAGGGGGGUAGAAUUCCAGGUGUAGCGGUGAAAUGCGUAGAGAUCUGGAGGAAUACCGGUGGCGAAGGCGGCCCCCUGGACAAAGACUGACGCUCAGGUGCGAAAGCGUGGGGAGCAAACAGGAUUAGAUACCCCUGUAGUC